GUAGGUGGGCAAGCGUUGUCCGGAAUUAUUGGGGCGUAAAGCGCGCGCAGGGCGGUCCUUUAAGUCUGAUGUGAAAGCCCACGGCUCAACCGUGGAGGGUCAUUGGAAACUGGGGGACUUGAGUACAGAAGAGGAAAGCGGAAUUCCAAGUGUAGCGGUGAAAUGCGUAGAGAUUUGGAGGAACACCAGUGGCGAAGGCGGCUUUCUGGUCUGUAACUGACGCUGAGGCGCGAAAGCGUGGGGAGCAAACAGGAUUAGAUACCCUGGUAGUCCACGCCGUAAACGAUGAGUGCUAAGUGUUAGGGGGUUUCCGCCCCUUAGUGCUGCAGCUAACGCAUUAAGCACUCCGCCUGGGGAGUACGGCCGCAAGGCUG
rnacentral:rRNA from 1 species